rnacentral:rRNA from 1 species
AACGAUUGAAGCUGGAGCUUGCUCCGGCCGAUUUAGUGGCGGACGGGUGAGUAACGCGUGGGUAACCUGCCUCAUACAGGGGGAUAACAGUUAGAAAUGGCUGCUAAUACCGCAUAAGCGCACAGCAUCGCAUGAUGCAGUGUGAAAAACUCCGGUGGUAUGAGAUGGACCCGCGUCUGAUUAGCUAGUUGGCAGGGCAACGGCCUACCAAGGCGACGAUCAGUAGCCGACCUGAGAGGGUGACCGGCCACAUUGGGACUGAGACACGGCCCAAACUCCUACGGGAGGCAGCAGUGGGGAAUAUUGCACAAUGGGGGAAACCCUGAUGCAGCGACGCCGCGUGAGCGAAGAAGUAUUUCGGUAUGUAAAGCUCUAUCAGCAGGGAAGAAGAAAUGACGGUACCUGACUAAGAAGCACCGGCUAAAUACGUGCCAGCAGCCGCGGUAAUACGUAUGGAGCAAGCGUUAUCCGGAUUUACUGGGUGUAAAGGGAGUGUAGGUGGCCAUGCAAGUCAGAAGUGAAAAUCCGGGGCUCAACCCCGGAACUGCUUUUGAAACUGUAAGGCUGGAGUGCAGGAGGGGUGAGUGGAAUUCCUAGUGUAGCGGUGAAAUGCGUAGAUAUUAGGAGGAACACCAGUGGCGAAGGCGGCUCACUGGACUGUAACUGACACUGAGGCUCG